AGACUGCCGGUGACAAACCGGAGGAAGUGGGGAUGACGUCAAGUCAUCAUGGCCCUUACGGCCUGGGCUACACACGUGCUACAAUGGUCGGUACAAAGGGUUGCCAAGCCGCGAGGUGGAGCUAAUCCCAUAAAACCGAUCGUAGUCCGGAUCGCAGUCUGCAACUCGACUGCGUGAAGUCGGAAUCGCUAGUAAUCGUGAAUCAGAAUGUCACGGUGAAUACGUUCCCGGGCCUU
rnacentral:rRNA from 1 species